rnacentral:tRNA from 1 species
GAGGCAUUAGUAAAAUAUAUUACACCACCUUGUCAAGGUAGUAUUAUGGGUUAGAUCCCCAUAUACCUCU